GGGCCCGCACAAGCGGCGGAGCAUGCGGAUUAAUUCGAUGCAACGCGAAGAACCUUACCUGGGUUUGACAUGUUCGGAAAUCCGGCAGAGAUGUCGGGUCCUUCGGGGCCGUUCACAGGUGGUGCAUGGCUGUCGUCAGCUCGUGUCGUGAGAUGUUGGGUUAAGUCCCGCAACGAGCGCAACCCUCGUUCGAUGUUGCCAGCGGUUCGGCCGGGGACUCAUCGAAGACUGCCGGGGUCAACUCGGAGGAAGGUGGGGAUGACGUCAAGUCAUCAUGCCCCUUAUGUCCAGGGCUUCACGCAUGCUACAAUGGCCGGUACAAAGGGCUGCGAUACCGUGAGGUGGAGCGAAUCCCAAAAAGCCGGUCUCAGUUCGGAUCGGGGUCUGCAACUCGACCCCGUGAAGUCGGAGUCGCUAGUAAUCGCAGAUCAGCAACGCUGCGGUGAAUACGUUCCCGGGCCUU
rnacentral:rRNA from 1 species